GAAUAUUGGGCAAUGGCCGAAAGGCUGACCCAGCGACGCCGCGUGUGGGAGGAAGCCCUUCGGGGUGUAAACCACUGUCAGGAGGGACGAAAGAGCGCAUGGUGAAUAACCCUGGGCAGUGACGGUACCUUCAACGGAAGCACCGGCUAACUCUGUGCCAGCAGCCGCGGUAAUACAGAGGGUGCAAGCGUUGUUCGGAAUUACUGGGCGUAAAGCGCGCGCAGGCGGAUCCUGUAAGUCUGGAGUGAAAUUUCACGGCUCAACCGUGAAGCUGCUUCGGAUACUGCGGAUCUGGAGAUCGGUAGAGGUCGGUGGAAUUACAGGUGUAGCGGUGGAAUGCGUAGAUAUCUGUAAGAACACCCGUGGCGAAGGCGGCCGCCUGGGCCGAAUCUGACGCUGAGGCGCGAAAGCGUGGGGAGCAAACAGGA
rnacentral:rRNA from 1 species